rnacentral:rRNA from 1 species
AUACGGAGGAUCCGAGCGUUAUCCGGAUUGAUUGGGUUUAAAGGGUGCGCAGCCGGCCAUUUAAGGCAGCGGUUAAAUCGUGGGGCUCAACCCCAUCCUGCCGUUGAUACUGGGUGGCUUGUUCGCGGUCGAGGUUGGCGGAAUUCGUUUGGUAGCGGGGGAAUGCAUAGAUAUGACGAAGAACAUCGAUUGCGUAGGCAGCUGACCAGACCGCAAAUGACGCUCAUGCACGAAAGUGCGGGGAUCGAACAGGAUUAGAUACCCUGGUAGUCCGCACAGUAAACGAUGAAUACUUGUUUUCGGCGAUAUAAUGUCGGAGGCAAAGCGAAAGCGAUAAGUAUUCCACCUGGGGAGUACGCCGGCAACGGUGACACUCAAAUGAAUUGACGGGG